AUCGUUCAUCCUUCAAUAACCUUUUCGAGGGACGGAAGUAGGGAAACUCCCGAAGGAACGCGCC
rnacentral:ncRNA from 2 species